UAUUAUAUACCUGUAGAUAAGGUACUAGGAUUAUUGAACAGAAGUAUCAACGUUGGGACCCCGCCUCUUUUACUUGACGUGAAGCUGAUGCAUACAGCUUCCGCUGCACUGCAUGCUGGGAGUAUGUUCGUGGUUUCCUGCUUCCGUUUAAUUCCUGCUGAAGAUCACGCUGGCUCCUGUUACUGUGAAGAUCACGUACAAUAGACGUCACUGCGUUUGCCGGUAAAGGGGACAACAUUAUAAGAAUAUCUGACAAAUUCAUUUGUGCUGAACAAGACAAUGUCUGACAAGAACCAAACCUCAGACCUUCCUGAUGCACACAGAGGGCGUCUAGAGGAAAACCCGGGCACUGGGCUAUUAAAUGUGAAGAAAGAGGAUGAUACAGAUGACAUGAAUAGUCAUCAGAUUGAAAUACAUUGCUCUUUCCCUGCCGGUGA